rnacentral:rRNA from 1 species
CGCUGGCGGCAUGCCUUACACAUGCAAGUCGAACGGCAGCACGGGGGCAACCCUGGUGGCGAGUGGCGAACGGGUGAGUAAUAUAUCGGAACGUGCCAAGUAGUGGGGGAUAACUAGUCGAAAGAUUAGCUAAUACCGCAUACGCUCUACGGAGGAAAGUGGGGGAUCGCAAGACCUCAUGCUAUUUGAGCGGCCGAUAUCUGAUUAGCUAGUUGGUGGGGUAAAAGCCUACCAAGGCGACGAUCAGUAGCUGGUCUGAGAGGACGACCAGCCACACUGGGACUGAGACACGGCCCAGACUCCUACGGGAGGCAGCAGUGGGGAAUUUUGGACAAUGGGGGCAACCCUGAUCCAGCAAUGCCGCGUGAGUGAAGAAGGCCUUCGGGUUGUAAAGCUCUUUUGUCAGGGAAGAAACGCGCCAAGCUAAUACCUCGGCGUAAUGACGGUACCUGAAGAAUAAGCACCGGCUAACUACGUGCCAGCAG